UACGUAGGGAGCAAGCGUUGUCCGGAAUCAUUGGGCGUAAAGCGCGCGUAGGCGGUUCGGUAAGUGGGAUGUGAAAGCCCUGGGCUCAACCUGGGAACUGCAUUCCAAACUGCCGAGCUAGAGUGUGGUAGAGGGAGGUAGAAUUUCCUGUGUAGCGGUGAAAUGCGUAGAUAUAGGAAGGAAUACCAGUGGCGAAGGCGGCCUCCUGGAUCAACACUGACGCUGAGGUGCGAAAGCGUGGGGAGCAAACAGG
rnacentral:rRNA from 1 species